UACAGAGGGUGCAAGCGUUGUUCGGAAUUACUGGGCGUAAAGCGCGUGUAGGCGGCGGCGUAAGUCGAAUGUGAAAUCCCUUGGCUUAACCAAGGAAGUGCAUCCGAUACUGCGUCGCUUGAGUGCCGGAGGGGAUGGCGGAAUUCCUGGUGUAGAGGUGAAAUUCGUAGAUAUCAGGAGGAACACCUGUGGCGAAGGCGGCCAUCUGGACGGUAACUGACGCUGAGACGCGAAAGCGUGGGUAGCAAACAGGAUUAGAUACCCUGGUAGUCCACGCUGUAAACGAUGAGUGCUAGGCGUCGUGGGUAUUGACCCCCGCGGUGCCGAAGUUAACACGUUAAGCACUCCGCCUGGGGAGUACGGUCGCAAGAUUAAA
rnacentral:rRNA from 1 species